rnacentral:tRNA from 1 species
GGUAAGAUGGCCGAGGGUUAGGCGGCAGGUUGUAGCCCUGAUUACAAAGGUUUAAGUCCUUUUCUUACCA